CCCAAGCAGCUGGGACUACAGAAGUAGGAUGGUGACACCUCAGCCCUUCUGCGAGAAAAACAAGGGUGAUCCACAUCCCCCAUCCCUCAUCUUAAAGUCAGGUUCAUAACGGAUAAGGCCUCUGAUCAGCCAAAUAACAAGCUGGAGGACUCAGGAGGCCCUUGCUUUGGUUCCUAUUGGAACAAUACAACAUAGAACAGGGCCAAGAAAAGGGCAAAGGAAAUACAAAAGGACGCCUGGAAGAUUUGCACAGGGCAAAGGAUGACUUGCUGAGUUAAUUUAAAGUGAUGUAAAUUGCUAAGACAACACUGCAAAGCAUUCAUAUCAUUUUUUUUUUCAAGGAAGAAAAUCUAAACAUUUUCCUCAGGAUCUUCAAUAAUAAAAAUCUAUUUAUCAAAAAAAAAAAAAAA
rnacentral:lncRNA from 1 species